rnacentral:rRNA from 1 species
ACACGACUCUCGGCAAUGGAUAUCUCGGCUCACGCAUCGAUGAAGAGCGCAGCGAAAUGCGAUACGUGGUGCGAAUUGCAGAAUCCCGCGAACCAUCGAGUCUUUGAACGCAAGUUGCGCCCGAGGCCAACCGGCCAAGGGCACGUCUGCCUGGGCGUCAAGC